UAGGGAAUCCUUCGCUUUGCCCCGUCCCUUCAUGCAAAUGACACUCCGCCCCAGGCUCCGGCUCAGCCCCCACGGACCGCCUUGGGGGGGAAAAGUUGGAUGGAACCUUUACAAGCUGUUUAAUUGCAAAACAGGUUACUUUCCAGGCCACUGGAAAAACUGCUGGAACCGGAGUUUGAGUCUAGUUUCCCCCACCCAGCCCCCACCCACCACCUCGGUUCGGACGGAGGCCCGUCGGAGGUCAUAAAUCCCCAAACGGCAAGGAGGAAACUUUUUUUUAAAAAAAAGCAAAAGAUUUUCAAGGGAAUCUUGUAAGGAAUUAGUGCCGCCUUGUUCCUCAAUUUGUUGUUCAUCUGACCUCCAGACUUUCUGGCGUCAGGAAUUAUCUUGUGACCAGAGGGAAAAAAAAUGAAUGGCGAUAAGGAAAUCGAGGCCCAAAGACGAAGUGACAGCUGCAAGAUCUAAUAGAUAGUAAAGGGGCCGAACCAGAAUCUGAAUCCAAGUCCUUUGACCAUAAAUCUAGCAUUUUUCUGCUCUCAAGAGGCUGGGGCUCUUUAGUCCUGCCUUUUCCUAGCUGAGGCUAGUCUCUUUCCUCUCAGGGCCUCAGUUUCUCCUUUUGUGAAACUCAUUUCUAUAAUCGCAAAAACAUUACUAAAUGUCUACAAUGUACUCCUUGGGUCCAGAUCUAUGAUUUCAUCUAUAUGGAAAAGAACACGCCACUUGGAUCCCAACCUCCUCCAAGUAGAACCUCAUGUGUUCCUUACUUAGUUUUAGAGGAUUGCAUAGGGACAGUGAGAGGCUUAAAUGAUUUGUGUGGGUCACACAGCUUAAUAUCUAGCACGGAACACAGGUCUUCCUGUCGCCAAGCUGCCUCAGUAUAGGAGGGGCUUAAUAAAUGCUUCAUUAACUUGAUACAAAGUUAUCCCUUAGUUGAGAGGAUAAGGCACAACAUGAUAACUAUAAUGCAUGAUGUUACAAUAUAAAAACAUUAGCUAGGUACAAACAAUAAUGAGCAAGGAUGGAGAUAUAUGAUCACGAGGAUUUGGGAUGAAAGAGGUGACAUUUGAAUUGAGCUUUGCAAGAUGGGUAGGGAUUCAAUAAGAGAAGAUCAUUACUUUGUAUAAUGAUUUAUGUAUCUGUUCAUGCCAUUUUUCCCAUCUCUUCCCCUCUACCCCCCCAAAAAUAAACUCUGUGAGAAGUGAGGUUGUCUUGGGGUUUUUGUCUUUGUAUCCUCAUGGACAUGUAAUAGAUCCUUAAUAUCUGUUUAUCACAUUUAAUAGGAUAAAGUGGAAUGAAAUGAGGACAUGCUGGGUAUAGGGAAUAUUAUCUCUUUGAGAGAUAAGACUUGUUAACCUCAGUUUUCCCAUCUGUAAAAAGAAGACAUUAGAUUAGAUGGUUUUCAGAUUCAAGAACUAAAAUUCUAGGAUUCCAAGGGGCAGAAAGAAUCAAUCAACACUUAGAAGCCAGAUCAGAUUUUGAUUCCUUGUGAAUCACUAACUCUCAAAAUGGACCCGGUCCCAUUGAUACAAACCUCUUUGGAAAUCUAGUGAUAGAUAAAUCUCUUUUCAAUCCUGUUUUCUUACCAUCCCUCCAGAGAUUAAAAAAAAAAAAAAAAAAAAGAAAGAAAGA